NNNNNNNNNNNNNNNNNNNNNNNNNNNNNNNNNNNNNNNNNNNNNNNNNNNNNNNNNCCCGGCCGCCGCGGCCGCCACGGGAGGACCGAGAGCCGCCUCCACCCCCACCGGAGUGGAUAUCCUCCUUGGGGACAGCCUUCUUCACCUCCACGCGAUGGCCCUGGAUCGGAUGGAACUUGACCACCGCGGCCUUGUCUGCCGCGUCGUGAUUCUGAAAAUACACGAAGCCGAAGCCACGCUUCUUGCCGGACUGCUUAUCGGCAAUAAUCUCGGCCUUUUCCACGGUGCCAAACUGCGAGAAGUGCUCGAUCAGGUCGCCCUCGGCCACGUCUCCCUUAAGGCCCCCGACAAAGAGCUUCUUCACCUUGGCGUGAGCACCGGGCCGCGCCGAAUCCUCCCGGGACACCGCCCGCUUCAGCUCCACCGUGUUGCCGUCCACCGCAUGAGGCGAGGCGGCCAUGGCGGCAUCGGCCUCCUCCACAUUGGAGUAGGUCACGAAGCCAAAGCAACGGGAGCGCUUGGUCUGGGGGUUCACCACCACUACGCAGUCUGUCAGGGUCCCAAAGGCCUCAAAGUGGCCGCGCAGGCCGGACUCACUCGUCUGCACGUUGAGGCCGCCGAUGAACAGCUUACACAGUUGGGAAUUCUCCAUCUCCACCGCCCGGGCCUUGCCCCCGCCCUGGGAGCUCCGAGGUUUCGCCGUCGCCGUGAUGGUUGGCUAAGGUUUCUUCACAACUUGGGCCCAGCCGUCGCUGGAGCCGCCCCCGCCGGUCAGCGGCGGAAAAGGGAAGAAGGGAAAGGGAAGGGAAAAAGGAAGAGAGGAAGGGGGAGGGAAGGGGAGAGGUGCCGGCUAGAGGACGAGCCGAGGAAACUGGAAGGCAACCAAAGCCGCCGCUACCGCCACCUCCGCUCCCGUAUCUGUGCACCACACAAAGAGGCCGCUGAACGCGCGCGCACCCUCCCCGAGGCGUGCGUCACCGCCGCGUACGGCAGCGCAGGGCAGUCCACCAAUCCUCGCCUCGACCUCAUUAGUCCCGCCUACCGCGCUGCAGCGCCGCUCUCGGUCACGGACUCCCCGCCCUCCGCGGUCUAUUCAAGCCUUCGGCCUGCGCUGCUCCUGUUGCAGCCUUUACCGCUCUGCUUUCACUCCCAGGAUCUCCAGUGCGCCCUCACUAGGGACUCUCUCUGCCCUUC
rnacentral:lncRNA from 1 species